AGAGGCAAAAAGCCAGAGCAACACACGCAUGGGUUGGUAGCUGAGCAAGUUAGGAUACUGAGAACAUGGUACACUAACGCUCUAGAGUCGAUAAAUGCAGGGUAAAACGGAAAAUUUCUGCCCUGAAAGCUCUGAGCAAGCAGUGGCCCUUUCAGCAGACUCAUUUCCACACCUAGAGAAUAGCUGUGCUACUCUGCAAAUCAGCAGGUUGUAGCCUGCAUUGAUCUUCUUUGGGGCUUGCUACAAGACUUGCAACUAUAAGCACAGGGGUUCCUUAUUGAGGAUGUGUACCCUAUUCCUGCGUGGGCUGUGGAUGCUUCUCUGGUGCUGGAGCUGCGUGGCAUGCAUUUGACCACAAUUACUGUAAAGAAGCUGUCCACUCAUUACUGCAAGCUCUGGGGAAAAGGAGGAGUGACAGAAUAUAGACUGAUAUCGGAGAGGUUCCAGAAGUGGCAGUAUGGCAACACACUUGUGGUAUUGCUGACGUGGCUGUAACUGAGCAGCGCUAUCAUGGAAGCCCAGCCUUCAAAGAAUCUUCGUCAUGUUUCAAGAAUCAUGACAGUUGCUAAUUUUAGAAAACUGUCAGUGAAGCACUUACCAGCUCUGCUGAAUGAAACGCUCGAACUUUGGUUUCAUCCCUUAGUAAUUAAUUCCAGAAGUUAGCCUGAGUAAGAGUAAAACCAAACCUGCUCCUGAACAGGACAAUGGCUGCGUGGAAAGAGACUCCCUUUCCUGUUUUAGAGCUCCAGGAGGGUACCUGAACAUACCUGGCAUCCCUAUU
rnacentral:lncRNA from 1 species